rnacentral:misc_RNA from 1 species
AAGUCGUAACAAGGUUUCCGUAGGUGAACCUGCGGAAGGAUCAUUAACACGUAUCCAAACGUUAAAACAACCCUGUGAAUAUUGAAUCUCAGUUCCCCCAGGGCAGAAAAAUGGGCUUCCUCUAGUAAAUCAUUGUCUUAACAAGGUUUUGAGUUAGAGGAUGGCGCACGAGUAGCACCUGUAUUGGGUCGAGCGUUUACAACUAUCCACUCCUGGUGCCCCCAGGGGUGCGUCGGACUUUCGUCGGGCGCGGUAGACAUGCAUCAUGUUCAACCUGAAUGAACUUGGCCCCACAGGGAGGUAACGACCCCCGGUCGAUGGCCGUGUGGACCACCGAUCGUUGACUGCGCUGCCCUUGCACAAUUCACCAAACACUUUCAGAUUGAUGGUUGCUUAACCGAACAACUGUUAACAAUGGAUAUCUUGGUUCUC